AUGCUUCGAUAUGACCUUGAGGACCAGCUCACGGUCAUUUACUCCAAUGAGGAGGCAUACUGGCAACCCCGAGGGACCCAAAAGUGGGUCCUCAAGGGUGAUGCCAACAUGGCCUACUUCCAGGCCAUUGCCAACGGUCGUAGGAGACGGAAUACCAUCCCCUUACAUUGGGAUGGGGAGACUCUCCUAUAGCGUCCGGACGACAUUCGUGCCCAUGUAGAUGGCUUCUAUAAAGCCCUUUUUUCCGCCCCCUAGGAGGGGCUUGGCCCUUGAUACCGACUUCUGGUUGGACCACAAUGCAUCUCAGCCACGGAAAAUGAUAUUCUCACGGCUCCAUUCACCGAGGAAGAAGUCUGGGCGGCGAUUAAAGGAAUGAAUCCUUCGUCCGCCACUGGCCCCGAUAGCCUGCCGGUGAAGUUCUUCCAGACCUUCUGGACUACCAUAAAGUCCGAGGUCAUGGCCCUCUUUGAAGAGUUCUAUAUGGGCACCAUCAACCCCCAUCGCCUUAAGUACAAGAUCAUCACUUUGAUACCCAAGGUCCCUGGGGCCUCGGACAUUUGGCAGUUCCGACCGAUCACGGUGAUCAAUGUGAUCUUCCGCAUCCUGGCACAGGGGUAUGCCAAUAGGGUGGCCCCUCUGGCUGACCGCCUCACCCAUCUGGACAAGUCCGCCUUCAUCCAAGGCUAG
rnacentral:rRNA from 1 species